rnacentral:lncRNA from 1 species
GGAUGUUUUGGGUGACUUUCCGACAUUCCUGACCAUACUUACAGUAAGAUUUUUGAUGGUUGUACCUAGGGUUUUGAACCUAGGGUUUUCUCUGUUUGCUUGAAGGCCGAUCUUCUCCGGUCGCGAAGAAGGAGGGUAACUCUUUCCUUAUCUUGACUAUUGUAUGCAUUCUGUGUGAUUAUCUGGCUCAGUAGGUGAGUAUCUGAUUUUUCUGUGUGAAUAUUUGGUUUUGUCUGUGAAUAUCUGGUGCGAUUAUGGCUUCCAAUACGAAUAAUGGUGGCUCUGCUUCGAUAGAUUCUACCAGUCCCCUCUUUGUAUAUUCUUCUGAUGCCCUGGGGUGUCUCUUGUUCCCACUCGCUUCUCCGGUACUGGUUAUGGG